AGGCCGAAAGGCGUAGUCGAUGGGAAACGGAUUAAUAUUUCCGUACUUGGUAUAAUUGCGAUGGGGGGACGGAGCAGGCUAAGCAAGCAUGGCGAUGGUAGUCCAUGUGAAAGUGUGUAGGCUAGUGACUUAGGUAAAUCCGGGUUGCUGUUAGGCUGAGACACGAGACGAGUCACCAAGGUGAUGAAGUUGCUGAUGCCAUACUUCCAGGAAAAGCCUCUAAGCUUCAGAUUAUACCGAAUCGUACCCCAAACCGACACAGGUGGUCANACUAAGGCGCUUGAGAGAACUCGGGUGAAGGAACUAGGCAAAAUCGUACCGUAACUUCGGGAGAAGGUACGCUCCGAUUGGUGAUGAGACUUGCUCUCUAAGCUGAUUGGAGCCGCAGUGACCAGGUGGCUGGGACUGUUUAUUAAAAACACAGCACUGUGCAAAAUCGUAAGAUGACGUAUACGGUGUGACGCCUGCCCGGUGCCGGAAGGUUAAUUGAUGGGGUUAGACUUCGGUCGAAGCUCUUGAUCGAAGCCCCGGUAAACGGCGGCCGUAACAAUAACGGUCCUAAGGUAGCGAAAUUCCUUGUCAGGUAAGUUCUGACCCGCACGAAAGGCGUAAUGAUCCCUUCGCUGUCUCGACUACAGACUCGGUGAAAUUUUAGUACCUGUGAAGAUGCAGGUUACCCGCAACUAGACGGAAAGACCCCGUGGAGCUUUACUAUAGCUUGAUAUUGGGUUUCGGUAUAGCAUGUAUAGGAUAGGUGGGAGACGUAGAUAGAGAAACGCUAGUUUUUCAGGAGUCGCCCUUGGAAUACCACCCUUGCUAUAUUGGAAUCCUAACCUAGAUCUGUAAUCCAGAUCAGAGACAGUGUCAGGUAGGUAGUUUGACUGGGGCGGUCGCCUCCUAAAAAGUAACGGAGGCGCCCAAAGGUACCCUCAGUAUGGUCAGAAAUCAUACGAAGAGCGCAAAGGUAUAAGGGUGCUUGACUGUGAGACUUACAAGUCGAACAGGAGCGAAAGCUGGGCUUAGUGAUCCGGCGGUCCCGAGUGGAAGGGCCGUCGCUCAACGGAUAAAAGUUACCCCGGGGAUAACAGGCUUAUCUCCCCCAAGAGUUCACAUCGACGGGGAGGUUUGGCACCUCGAUGUCGGCUCAUCGCAUCCUGGAGGUGAAGACGCUUCCAAGGGUUGGGCUGUUCGCCCAUUAAAGCGGUACGCGAGCUGGGUUUAGAACGUCGUGAGACAGUUUGGUCCCUAUCUGUUGUGGGCGUAGGAAAUUUGAUGAGAUCUGUCCCUAGUACGAGAGGACCGGGAUGGACGUACCUAUGGUGCUCCAGUUGUCACGCCAGUGGCACAGCUGGGUAGCUAUGUACGGAAAUGAUAAUCGCUGAAAGCAUCUAAGCGAGAAGCAUACUUAAAGAUGAGAUUUCCCAUCCUUUAUGGAGUAAGACCCCUUGA
rnacentral:rRNA from 1 species